rnacentral:lncRNA from 1 species
CUACAAGGCCCUUCAAUGGCAUCUUUCUCCACAUCAGGCGUUUAAUCCUUUUCUUGUUUGGUCUCAUCCAAAGAGUAAGCCAAAAUAAUCAAGGUCACAAAGGACUUAUGACCAAGGUAUAACUCUGCAAAUAUCUUUAACUGGUCAUGGCUUCUUUGUUUGAUCCCUUCCCACUCAUUAGAAGACUCUAAGGAACAGAUGCUUCAGCCUAGUUCAAAGUAGUACACUUCAUACCUCAGCAAAGUGGACCAAAAAAGAGGAAAACACAGAAUACAAGAAAGAGUUGACAAAGCAAAUCUAAUAAAAAGUAUGGUUGGUUUGAACAGCCACUGGUAUAAAUUCCUUAUGAUUCUACUUUUUGACAGGCUCCUCCUUUUGACUAUUGAGCAAUUAAGAUAUUUUCAGUCGUUUCGAUUCCUUUUCCACAUUGUCUCUAAUGUUCUGUAGUUUUCUGGAGUUCUGAACCAGGGAUACUAAACUCUCCCUAAAAUCACUAGUCCCAUGAUCUCUGCCAACAUUAUGAAGCUCAUCAAAGAAAGUCAACGUCUGUUUGAGUUUGGCCUGAACA